GUACAAUGAAUGAAAUAAAAUAGUCUGACAUUUGGCCCUGCAUUUUUUUAUAGGUACAAUGAAAGAAAUAAAAUAGUCUGACAUUUGGCCCUGCAUUUUUUUACAUGUACAAUAAAUAAAAUAGUCUGACAUAA
rnacentral:ribozyme from 1 species